GGACUACCAGGGUAUCUAAUCCCGUUCGCUCCCCUGGCUUUCGCGUCUCAGCGUCAGAAAACGUCCAGGAGCUCGCUUUCGCCACGGGCGUUCCUUCCGAUCUCAACGCAUUUCACCGCUCCACCGGAAGUUCCAGCUCCCCCUACGUUCCUCCAGGCUGGUCGUAUCGGCGCCACUUCCCCGGUUAAGCCGGGGGAUUUCAACGGCCGACGUUCCAACCCGCCUACACGCGCUUUAAGCCCAGUGAUUCCGAAUAACGUUCGCACGGUUCGUCUUACCGCGGCUGCUGGCAC
rnacentral:rRNA from 1 species